rnacentral:rRNA from 1 species
AUGAUCGAUGACUGUAGUAUUUGUGCUAGGGCUGUGGGAUUGCUUCGCGCCAGAGUAGUUUUGGGCAUGUUGGUGGUCUCUGGCGCCCCCUCGCUAGGUGGAUGGUGUACUUGUGUUCGUCCCAGAUCAAUAGAAUGUUGCUUCUGCUGGAGAAAACCAUUGUUCCAUAUGAGUAACUCAACUGGUGCAAUCUUGAGUUGGAAUGUGAGAGGGCUGAACUGGCUAGCAAAGCACGCAGCUGUGCGCGAGAUUGUGGAGGCUCAUCGACCAAGCAUUCUAUGCCUCCAAGAAACAAAGCUGGAAUCCUGGACACCCGCCGUUGUUCAGGAGCUGGGGGGUCGCAAGCUUGAGGGAUGCUCUGUCCUGCCUACAGUGGGCACCAGGGGAGGAGCGGCCAUUAUCUGGGAUAAGGCUGUCAUUAGUUUCACCACCCAUGCUAUUGGUUGCUUCUCGAUCACGGGCAAAGUGACUGAUCUGCAGGGCUGCUCCUCUUUCUGGAUGACGACUAUUUAUGGACCGGCUGACGAUGCACGCAAAGACGCCUUCCUGGCAGAGAUGGCACAUGCUGCACCACCUCCGCGGGAGCCUUGGUUGAUGAAUGAAUAUUUCAAUGUCAUCUAUGAAGCGAGGGACAAGAACAAUCUGAAUUUGAACAAGAGGAUUAUGAGCAUGUUCAGGGCAGCUAUUGACACGACGGGUUUACGUGAGGUAAAGUGGAAAAAUAGAAAGUUCACUUGGACAAACGAGCGACAUGAUCCAACAAUGGUAUCCAUCGACAAGGUCUUCUGUAAUGCGGAAUGGGAUGUCCUCUUUCUAUCCUAUAUGGUAAUUGCUGCGGCAACUGUGUGCUCGGAUCACUGCCCGCUUGUGCUGGCCAACUCUACAGCCCCAAAAAGGAGGCCUGUUGUCAGGUUUGGGUCUUUCUGGCCGCGUUUUCCCCUCUUCCACAACACGGUUAACUUGGCUUGGUAA